rnacentral:rRNA from 1 species
UAAGUGGAUUACACAUCAUAAAUUCACAAACCCAUAGCAAUAAAGAGUAUACUACAAGGUUUCCAUAACCCUAACAAAUAAACUUAGCUAUGCAUGAGUAAAACAGGAAUCAAAAUAGACAUAUUCGUCAUACCAAAACUUAGAACAAUCUUGGUGAUAAAAAUGACUAGAGACAAUAAGAGAGAAACGCGUUUCUCUCUCUUUGUCCUCAAGCUAAGCAUCUCCCUUCUUUUCAAAAAUAAUAUAGAAUCUGAAUAAUCUCAAUAAUCCCUAAAAAUUCAGCAAUAAUGCUUUUAAUAACAUCCUUCUCUAAUAAAUUGCUACUGCAUCCUUAACUAUUUAAAAAUACUGAGUUUGCUCGGGAAAAAGUUCCCAUGCAUCACAUUCAGUCCAAAAGUUGCCUUCCCUUUUAUGUGAAGUUUUCCUUUGCUGUCCACAGGGCCUCAAAGUGCUGAAAUCUUCCUCAUUAGUACCUAAAAAGCAUGUUAAUCACAUAGAUCAGCUCACUUAAUUGAAAAUAGACUAAAAGUGCAGGAAUUAUGUAUUUUAUCCUCAAAACUUAGCAAAAACAUGGGUAAGUUAUGGUUCUUAGACGUAUAAAUACGCCCAACAUCAAGUAAACCCAUAAGGUGUAAGGAAGCUGAUUGGUGGUAUCCCCUCGAGGGGUGCAUCGCCGACCGACCUUGAUCUUCUGAGAAGGGUUCGAGUGUGAGCAUACCUGUUGGGACCCAAAAGAUGGUAAACUAUGCCUGAGCGGGGUAAAGCUAGAGGAAACUCUGGUGGAGGCCCGCAGUGAUACUGACUUGCAAAUCGUUCGUCUGACUUGGGUGUAGGGCCCGCGGCUGCUUUGUCGAGCCGUGCCACGAAUCAAGAGCUCCAAGUGGGCCAUUUUGAGUAAGCAGAACUGGCGAUGUGGGAUAAACCAAAAUCUGGGUUACUGUUCCAAACUGUGCACUAACCUAGAUCCCAAAAUGUUAGGAAGUUCGGAGACAUCGGCAGGAGCCUCAGGAAGAGUUAUCUUUUCUGUGUAACCGCUUCCCACAGUGGAAUCGGCUUAGUCAGAGGUAGGGUCCAGUGGCUGGAAGAGCACCACACAUCACGUGGUGUCCGGUGCACUACCGAAGGCCCUUGAAAAUCCAAAGAACCGAAUGCCGUCCAUGCCCGGUCGUACUCAUAACCAUAUCAAGUCUCCAAGGGAACAACCUCUGGUUGAUGGAACAAUGUAGGCAAGGGAAGUCGGCAAAAUAGAUCCGUAACUUCUAGAAAAGGAUUAUCACUGAGGGCUGGGCAUGGGGGUCCCAGUCCCGAACCCAUCGGAUGUCGAUGGACUACUCAAGCUUCUCCCAUAGCGAGAGCGGGUCACUGCAUACCGAUCAGGGGAUGUACUGGGAACGGUUCCUUCAGGGGCCUUCCCUGCACAUCAAACAGCCAACUCAGAAUCGGUACGGACAAGGGGAAUCCGACUGUUUAAUUAAAACAAAGAAUUACUAUGGUCCCAACGGAUGUUCACGCAUUGUGAUUUCUACCCAGUGCUCUGAAUGUCAAAGUGAAAAAAUUCAACCAAGCGCGGGUAAACGGCGGGAGUAACUAUGACUUACUUAAGGUAGCCAAAUGCCUCAUCAUCUAAUUGGUGACGUGCAUGAAUGGAUUAACGAGAUUACCACUAUCCCUGUCUACUAUCCAGCAAAACCACAGCCAAAGGAACGUGCUUGGCAGAAUCAAUGGGGAAAGAAGACCCUCUUGAGCUUGACUCUACUCCGACUUUAUGAAAUGACUUAAGAGGUGUAGUAUAAGUGGGAUCCGUGAAUUGGAAUUGGGGCACUGCCCCUACUGGCUGGAUCAACUAGGUAGACAGGCAAAAGUGUAAUACCACUACUUUUAACAUUAUUUUACUUAUUCUGUGAAUUGCAAGCGGGGCACUGCCCCUCAUUUCAGACCCCAGUCUCACUCUGUGGGCUGAUCCAAGUGGAAGACAUUGCCAGGCGGGGAAUUUGGAUGGGGCGGCACAUCUGUUAAAAGAUAACGCAGGUGUCCUAAGAUGAGCUCAACGAGACCAGAAAUAUCGUGUAGAACAGAAGGGUAAAAGCUCGUUUGAUUCAAAUUUCCAUUACGAAUAAGAACCAUUAAAGUGUGGCCUAACGAUUCUUUAGACCUUCAGAAUUCAAAGCUGGAGGUGUUAGAAAAGUGCUACCACAGGGAUAGCUGUCCUGUUGUAACCAAGCGUUCAUAGCGACGUUGCUUUUUCAUCCUUUGAUGUUGGCUCUUCCUAUCAUUUUGAAGCAAAAUUCACCAAGUGUUGGACUGUUCACCCACCAAUAGAAAACAUGAGGUGGGUUUAGACCAUCGUGAGACAGGUUAGUUUUACCCUACUUAUGACAGUGUCACUGUAGUAAUUCAACCUAGUACGAGAAGAAAUAUUGAUUCACACAAUUUGUCAUUGCGCUUGGUUGAAAAACCAGUGGCGUAAUGCUACCGUGUGUUGGAUUAUAACUGAACAUCUCUAAGUUAGAAUUCGGACUAGAAGCGAUGCAUGCGCCUGCUAUCCGCUUGUCGACCCACAGUAGGUGCCUCGGCCCCCAAGGGCACAUGUCGUUUUCUAAGCCACCGCGGUAGAAGAAUCACGGAGGCCGCCUUGAAGUAUAAUUUCCAUCGAGCGGCCGGUAGAAUCCAUUGCA